CCUACGGGUGGCAGCAGUGAGGAAUAUUGGUCAAUGGACGAGAGUCUGAACCAGCCAAGUAGCGUGAAGGAUGACUGCCCUAUGGGUUGUAAACUUCUUUUAUAUGGGAAUAAAACAGGGUAUGCAUACCCUCUUGUAUGUACCAUAUGAAUAAGGAUCGGCUAACACCGUUCCAGCAGCCGCGGUAAUACGGAGGAUCCGAUCGUUAUCCGGAUUUAUUGUGUUUAAAGGGAGCGUAGGUGGAUGUUUACGUCAGUUGUGAAAGUUUGGGGCUCAACCGUAAAAUUGCAGUUGAAACUGGCAGUCGUGAGUACAGUAGAGGUGGGCGGAAUUCGUGGUGUAGCGGUGAAAUGCUUAGAGAGCACGAAGAACUCCGAUUGCGAAGGCAGCUCACUGGACUGCAACUGACACUGAUGCUCGAAAGUGUGGGUAUCAAACAGGAUUAGAUACCCUUGUAGUC
rnacentral:rRNA from 1 species